rnacentral:rRNA from 1 species
GAUGAACGCUGGCGGCGUGCCUAAUACAUGCAAGUCGAGCGAACGGACGAGAAGCUUGCUUCUCUGAUGUUAGCGGCGGACGGGUGAGUAACACGUGGAUAACCUACCUAUAAGACUGGGAUAACUUCGGGAAACCGGAGCUAAUACCGGAUAAUAUUUUGAACCGCAUGGUUCAAAAGUGAAAGACGGUCUUGCUGUCACUUAUAGAUGGAUCCGCGCUGCAUUAGCUAGUUGGUAAGGUAACGGCUUACCAAGGCAACGAUGCAUAGCCGACCUGAGAGGGUGAUCGGCCACACUGGAACUGAGACACGGUCCAGACUCCUACGGGAGACAGCAGUAGGUAAUCUUCCGCAAUGGGCUAAAUCCUUACGGAGCAACGCCGCGUGAGUGAUGAAGUGCUUCGGAUCGUAAAACUCUGUUAUUAGGGAAGAACAUAUGUGUAAGUAACUGUGCACAUCUUGAAGGUACCUAAUCAGAAAGCCACGGCUAACUACGU